rnacentral:rRNA from 1 species
UACGAAGGGGGCUAGCGUUGCUCGGAAUCACUGGGCGUAAAGGGUGCGUAGGCGGGUCUUUAAGUCAGGGGUGAAAUCGCCCGGCUCAACUGGGCGGGGUCGGCGGAUACGGCCGAGCUGGAGCAAGCUAGGGGGUAAUGGAAUUCCCGGUGUAGUGGUGGAAUGCGUAGAUAUCGGGAGGAACACCAGUGGCGAAGGCGGUUACCUGGAGCUUUGCUGACGCUGAUGCGCGAAAGCGUGGGGAGCGAUCCGG